UUCCAGCUCCAAUAGCGUAUAUUAAAGUUGUUGCGGUAAAAAAGCUCGUAGUUGGAUUUCUGUCGAGAACAGCCGGUCACGAUUUUGUCGUUGUAUCUGGUUUGGUCUUGGCAUCCUCUUGGGGAACAUUACUGCGCUUCACUGCGUGGAGUGGUAUUCAAGACUUUUACUUUGAGGAAAUUAGAGUGUUCACGGCAGGCAAUCGCCCUGAAUAUAUUAGCAUGGAAUAAUGAUAUAGGACCUUGGUUCUAUUUUGUUGGUUUCUAGAACUAAGGUAAUGAUUAAUAGGGACAAUUGGGGGCAUUCGUAUUAACGCGUCAGAGGUGGAAUUCUUAGAUUGCGUUACGACGAACUACUGCGAAAGCAUUUGCCAAGGAUGUUUUCAUUA
rnacentral:rRNA from 1 species